rnacentral:antisense_RNA from 17 species
GGUAUCCAAAAAUGGUUGCAGGGUUUCCAGUAGGAUUUGUAAUAACUCUUACAUCUCCACCUCCUGGUGCCCAAGUAUCAUAAACACCGCCAAAAUACAUAGCUUUUCCUACUAGUAGUAGAGCACCAGCACCUAAAAGAAUAAGAUGAAUACCAAGAAUGGUAGUCAUUUUAUUUUUAUCUUUCCA